AUUGAACGCUGGCGGCAUGCCUUACACAUGCAAGUCGAACGGCAGCACGGGUGCUUGCACCUGGUGGCGAGUGGCGAACGGGUGAGUAAUACAUCGGAACAUGUCCUGUAGUGGGGGAUAGCCCGGCGAAAGCCGGAUUAAUACCGCAUACGAUCUACGGAUGAAAGCGGGGGACCUUCGGGCCUCGCGCUAUAGGGUUGGCCGAUGGCUGAUUAGCUAGUUGGUGGGGUAAAGGCCUACCAAGGCGACGAUCAGUAGCUGGUCGGAGAGGACGACCAGCCACACUGGGACUGAGACACGGCCCAGACUCCUACGGGAGGCAGCAGUGGGGAAUUUUGGACAAUGGGCGAAAGCCUGAUCCAGCAAUGCCGCGUGUGUGAAGAAGGCCUUCGGGUUGUAAAGCACUUUUGUCCGGAAAGAAAUCCUUGGCCCUAAUACGGUCGGGGGAUGACGGUACCGGAAGAAUAAGCACCGGCUAACUACGUG
rnacentral:rRNA from 1 species